CGUAAAGACGCAUGCAGGUGGUUUGUUUAAGUUCAGAUGUGAAAGACCCGGGGCCGUCAACCUACCGGAAUAAGCAUUUGUAAACUAGGCAGACUAGAGUACUGUAGAGGGGGGUAGGAAUUUCAGGUGUAGCGGUGAAAUAGCGUAGAGAUCUGAAGGAAUACCGGUGGCGAAGGCGGCCCCCUCGGACAGAUACUGACACUCAGAUGCGAAAGCGUGGGGAGCAAACAGGAUUAGAUACCCUGGUAG
rnacentral:rRNA from 1 species